rnacentral:rRNA from 1 species
CCUACGGGUGGCUGCAGUGGGGAAUAUUGGACAAUGGGCGAAAGCCUGAUCCAGCCAUGCCGCGUGUGUGAAGAAGGCCUUCGGGUUGUAAAGCACUUUCAGUGGGGAAGAAAGCCUUGGGGCUAAUACCCUCGAGGAGGGACAUCACCCACAGAAGAAGCACCGGCUAACUCCGUGCCAGCAGCCGCGGUAAUACGGAGGGUGCGAGCGUUAAUCGGAAUUACUGGGCGUAAAGCGCGCGUAGGCGGUCUGAUAAGCCGGUUGUGAAAGCCCCGGGCUCAACCUGGGAACGGCAUCCGGAACUGUCAGGCUAGAGUGCAGGAGAGGAAGGUAGAAUUCCCGGUGUAGCGGUGAAAUGCGUAGAGAUCGGGAGGAAUACCAGUGGCGAAGGCGGCCUUCUGGACUGACACUGACGCUGAGGUGCGAAAGCGUGGGUAGCAAACAGGAUUAGAUACCCGGGUAGUC